rfam:Ixodes scapularis strain Wikel colony gcontig_1108379278368, whole genome shotgun sequence.
CCCUGCUCCUGAUGAUCGCAUAGUUCAGCAGAUUUGGCUCUGACGAUUAUGCAUCUUGUCUUUCGCUCCUAUCUGAUAUUUGUG